UACGUAGGGUGCGAGCGUUGUCCGGAAUUAUUGGGCGUAAAGAGCUCGUAGGCGGUCUGUCGCGUCGAUCGUGAAAACUUGGGGCUUAACUCUGAGCUUGCGGUCGAUACGGGCAUGACUGGAGUUCGGCAGGGGAGACUGGAAUUCCUGGUGUAGCGGUGAAAUGCGCAGAUAUCAGGAAGAACACCCGUGGCGAAGGCGGUUCUCUGGGACGGUACUGACGCUGAGACGCGAAAGCGUGGGGAGCGAACAGG
rnacentral:rRNA from 1 species